rnacentral:tRNA from 1 species
CGGGGCGUAGCGCAGUCUGGUAGCGCGUCUGGUUUGGGACCAGAAGGCCCCGAGUUCGAAUCUCGGCGCCCCGACCA